rnacentral:rRNA from 1 species
AGCAGCCGCGGUAAUUCCAGCUCCAAUAGCGUAUAUUAAAGUUGUUGCAGUUAAAAAGCUCGUAGUUGAAUUUCGGGGUUAGCAAGUUGGUCGUGCCACUGGUAUGUACUGGCUUUGCUGAUUCCUCCUUCUUGUAGAACCGUAAUGCCAUUUAGUUGGUGUUGCGGGGAAACAGGACUGUUACUUUGAAAAAAUUAGAGUGUUUAAAGCAGGCUAACGCCUGAAUACAUUAGCAUGGAAUAAUGAAAUAGGACGAGCGAUCCUAUUUUGUUGGUUUCUAGGAUUGACGUAAUGAUUAAUAGGGAUAGUUGGGGGCAUUAGUAUUCAAUUGUCAGAGGUGAAAUUCUUGGAUUUAUUGAAGACUGACUACUGCGAAAGCAUUUGCCAAGGAUGUUUUCAUUAAUCAAGAACGAAAGUUAGGGGAUCGAAGACGAUCAGAUACCGUCGUAGUCUUAACCAUAAACUAUGCCGACUAGGGAUCGGAUGAUGUUAAUUUUUA